UACGAAGGGAGCUAGCGUUGUUCGGAAUUACUGGGCGUAAAGGGCUCGUAGGCGGCCAACUAAGUCAGACGUGAAAUCCCUCAGCUUAACUGGGGAACUGCGUCUGAUACUGGAUGGCUUGGAUCCGGGAGAGGGAUGCGGAAUUCCAGGUGUAGCGGUGGAAUGCGUAGAGAUCCGGAAGAAUACCGGUGGCGAAGGCGGCCUGCUGGGCAGUGGCUGACACUGAGGCGCGACAGCGUGGGGAGCAAACAGG
rnacentral:rRNA from 1 species